UCUCUCUCUCGUUUCUCACUGUUGCUGGUUAAUCGCUUCAGGAGCUAAGGGGGGAAAUGGCGAUGGGGAUGAGAGUGGAGAUAAACAGACGUCUUCUCUUCCCUGGGUUGAGGAAGUGUCUCUACAGAUUGGUUUUAUUGAUCCUAAAGUUUCAGUUGUUUUAAACCAGAUUUAAGACUGAGCUCCCUGCUUUACCAGCAUUUAUCCUCGAGUGUAAAGUGACCCAUCCAAUUCCCUUUUGUAUACUGCCAGUUGCCUCUCUUCCUUUCCUGUCCCCGCUCCUUUGCCUGACUCUUCAUUUCUACCUACGUCUUGGGGAUAUAGGACUGCCUUUCUGACCCUUAUGCCCUCCUUACCCAGGAUCUGUAAAUAAAAAUCUUUGAACUUCCUAUUGUGGUUGUGUAUUGAAUUUGUGCCUUCCAUCUGGAGAACAUGGGGCUACCCCAGACCAAGUUUUGCCCUGGAGAAACACAGGUUGGACUCCCAGUGCCAGAGCAGUGGUCAGAAAGGCAUAGAGUGGAUGUGGGUCAGACAAGAGCCACAGGGGUGUCUGCCAGUAUAAACAAGAUCCCCCUGUGAGGGACCCCCUGGUUGUGGGUCAGACAACUAGGAUGACCACCAGGUAAAAGAAGUAUCCCAUGAAAGGCACUCUGGAAACACCCAUAUCUAGUUCCCCUUCAUUUCCUGUAAGAUUAGGGUUGCUAUGGUACUACAACCCCAGUUUAGCUCUGGGCUCUCAGUAAGUCUUGCACACCUGUCAGAUUUAUUUUACAUAGUUAAUAACACGAUGCUAUUAUAGUGUUAUUUUUACUUUCAAUUUUUAAUUAUUUAUACCUGCUACAGUCUUAAUUUUGG